rnacentral:tRNA from 1 species
GCCCUAGUAGCUACAGCCGGUAGAGCGCGGCCAUGGUAAGGCCGAGGUCCUGGGUUCGAUCCCCAGCUAGGGCU